UAGCGGCGGACGGGUGAGUAACACGUGGGCAACCUGCCUGUAAGACUGGGAUAACUUCGGGAAACCGAAGCUAAUACCGGAUAGGAUCUUCUCCUUCAUGGGAGAUGAUUGAAAGAUGGUUUCGGCUAUCACUUACAGAUGGGCCCGCGGUGCAUUAGCUAGUUGGUGAGGUAACGGCUCACCAAGGCAACGAUGCAUAGCCGACCUGAGAGGGUGAUCGGCCACACUGGGACUGAGACACGGCCCAGACUCCUACGGGAGGCAGCAGUAGGGAAUCUUCCGCAAUGGACGAAAGUCUGACGGAGCAACGCCGCGUGAGUGAUGAAGGCUUUCGGGUCGUAAAACUCUGUUGUUAGGGAAGAACAAGUACGAGAGUAACUGCUCGUACCUUGACGGUACCUAACCAGAAAGCCACGGCUAACUACGUGCCAGCAGCCGCGGUAAUACGUAGGUGGCAAGCGUUAUCCGGAAUUAUUGGGCGUAAAGCGCGCGCAGGCGGUUUCUUAAGUCUGAUGUGAAAGCCCACGGCUCAACC
rnacentral:rRNA from 1 species